rnacentral:rRNA from 1 species
AGAGGGUUCGAUUAUGGCUCAGAUUGAACGCUGGCGGGAUGCUUUACACAUGCAGUCGAACGGCAGCACGGACUUCGGUCUGGUGGCGAGUGGCGAACGGGUGAGUAAUGUAUCGGAACGUGCUAGUAGCGGGGGAUAACUACGCGAAAGCGUAGCUAAUACCACGCGCAUACGCCCUUCGAGGAAGCGGGGGACCUUCGGGCCUCGCACUAUUGAAACGGCCGAUAUCGGAUUAGCUAGUUGGUGGGGUAACGGCUCACCACGGCGACGAUCCGUAGCUGGUUGAGAGGACGACCAGCCACACUGGGACUGAGACGUGAACUCCUACGGGAGGCAGCGAUGGGGAAUUUUUGGACAAUGGAAACCCGAUCCAGCCAUCCCGCGUGUGCGAUGAAGGCCUUCGGGUUGUAAAGCACUUUUGGCAAGAAAAGCGGCGCGGAUAAUACCCCGUGCAACUGACGGUACCUGCAGAAUAAGCACCGGCCCAACUACGUGCCAGCAGCCGCGGUAAUACGUAGAGAUUGCAAGCGUUAAUCGGAAUUACUGGGCGUAAAGCGUGCGCAGGCGGUUCGGAAAGAAAGAUGUGAAAUCCCAGAGCUUAACUUUGGAACUGCAUUUUUAACUACCGAGCUAGAAGAGUGUGUCAGAGGGAGGUGGAAUUCCGCGUGUAGCAGUGAAAUGCGUAGAUAUGCGGAGGAACACCGAUGGCGAAGGCAGCCUCCUGGAAUAACACUGACGCUCAUGCACGAAAGCGUGGGGAGCAAACAGGAUUAGAUACCCUGGUAGUUCACGCCUAAACGAUGUCAACUAGCUGUUGGGGCCUUCGGGCCUUGGUAGCGCAGCUAACGCGUGAAGUUGACCGCCUGGGAGUACGGUCGCAAGAUUAAAACUCAAAGGAAUUGACGGGGACCCGCACAAGCGGUGGAUGAUGUGGAUUAAUUCGGUACGGCGAAAACCUUGCCUGCUUGCCGGCACAUGUCUGGAACCCGAAGAGUUGGGGAUGCUCAUAGGAACGGACUGGGUUACUGCAUGGCUGUCGUCAGCCUCGUGUCGUAGAUGUUAGAACCAGUCCUGAGCGGCAACCACCGUCACAUUUGGUGCACCAGGCACUCAGCCGGUGCGGACGUCGACGAGGUGCGGAAGCGAUGGCGUAGUCCUGUAAAGCCCACCGCGGAUGGCUUCCACACGUCAUACAAUGGUCGGGACAGAGGGUCGCCAACCCGCGAGGGGAGCCAAUCCCAGAAACCCGAUCGUAGUCCGGAUCGCAGCCUGCAACUCGACUGCAUGAAGUCGGAAUCGCUAGUAAUCGCGGAUCAGCAUGUCGCGGUGAAUACGUUCCCGGGUCUUGUACACACCGCCCGUCACACCAUGGGAGUGGGUUUUACCAGAAGUAGUUAGCCUAACCGUAAGGAGGGCGAUUACCACGGUAGGAUUCAUGACUGGGGUGAAGUCGUAACAAGGUAG